UGGGGAAUUUUGGACAAUGGGCGCAAGCCUGAUCCAGCCAUGCCGCGUGCGGGAAGAAGGGCCUUCGGGUUGUAAACCGCUUUUGUCAGGGAAGAAAUCUUCUGAGUUAAUACCUCGGGAGGAUGACGGUACCUGAAGAAUAAGCACCGGCUAACUACGUGCCAGCAGCCGCGGUAAUACGUAGGGUGCAAGCGUUAAUCGGAAUUACUGGGCGUAAAGCUGCGCAGGCGGUUUUGUAAGACAGAGGUGAAAUCCCCGGGCUCAACCUGGGAACUGCCUUUGUGACUGCAAGGCUUGAGUGCGGCAGAGGGGGAUGGAAUUCCGCGUGUAGCAGUGAAAUGCGUAGAUAUGCGGAGGAACACCGAUGGCGAAGGCAAUCCCCUGGGCCUGCACUGACGCUCAUGCACAAAGCGUGGGGAGCAAACAGGAUUAGAUAGCCCUGGUAGUCCACGCCCUAAACGAUGUCAACU
rnacentral:rRNA from 1 species